GGGAAUAUUGGGCAAUGGGCGCAAGCCUGACCCACCAACGCCGCGUGAAGGAAGAAGGCUUUCGGGUUGUAAACUUCUUUUAUCAGGGACGAAAGCAAUGACGGUACCUGAUGAAUAAGCCACGGCUAACUACGUGCCAGCAGCCGCGGUAAUACGUAGGUGGCAAGCGUUAUCCGGAUUUACUGGGUGUAAAGGGAGCGUAGACGGUUAUGCAAGUCUGGAGUGAAAGCCCGGGGCUCAACCCCGGGACUGCUUUGGAAACUGUAAAACUGGAGUGCAGGAGAGGCAGGCGGAAUUCCUAGUGUAGCGGUGAAAUGCGUAGAUAUUAGGAGGAACACCAGUGGCGAAGGCGGCCUGCUGGACUGUAACUGACGUUGAGGCUCGAAGGCGUGGGGAGCAAACAGG
rnacentral:rRNA from 1 species